CCUACGGGUGGCAGCAGUGGGGAAUUUUGCGCAAUGCUCGUAAGAGUGACGCAGCGACGCCGCGUGUGGGAAGACGGUCCUCUGGAUUGUAAACCACUGUCCCCAGGGACGAAGAUGACGGUACCUGGGGAGGAAGCUCCGGCUAACUACGUGCCAGCAGCCGCGGUAAUACGUAGGGAGCGAGCGUUGUCCGGAAUUACUGGGUGUAAGGGGAGCGUAGGCGGGGAUGCAAGUUGGGUGUCAAAACUACCGGCUCAACUGGUAGUCGCACUCAAAACUGCAGCUCUUGAGUGAAGUAGAGGCAGAUGGAAUUCCUAGUGUAGCGGUGAAAUGCGUAGAUAUUAGGAGGAACACCAGUGGCGAAGGCGGUCUGCUGGACAGCAACUGACGGUGAGGCGCGAAAGCGUGGGGAGCAAACAGGAUUAGAUACCCGAGUAGUC
rnacentral:rRNA from 1 species